rnacentral:tRNA from 13 species
GCAGCCGUGGCCGAGUGGUGAAGGUGAUGGACUCGAAAUCCAUUGGGUUUCCCCGCGUAGUUCCGAAUCCUACCGGCUGCG